rnacentral:rRNA from 1 species
CAUUGUCGAGACCCAAAAUAGAACGAGCAAUUUUGAGAACCCGUGAUCAAAAGAUGAGGCGGUGGCGCAUGCCGUUGCCCAACACCCCUCCCUUUGUCAUGCCUUCUUCAACGAAGCCAUGCCAUAGGUGCUUGGGUGGAAAUAAAACCGGCACAGUUUUGUGCCAAGGAGUAUGUACAAUAUGAGUGUGCGUGACACGUCUUUCAAGCUUUUUGAUCGGCAUGGUGUAGUGUCAUCGCCACUUCUUAUGGAUUGUAAGACUCUCGGCAAUGGAUAUCUUGGCUCUUGCAUCGAUGAAGAGCGCAGCGAAAUGCGAUACGUGGUGCGAAUUGCAGAAUCCCGUGAACCAUCGAGUUUUUGAACGCAAGUUGCGCCUGAGGCCAUCUGGUCGAGGGCACGUCCGCCUGGGCGUCAUGCACUAUAUCGCUUCGUCCAGUCAAAACCAUAAAUAUGAUGGGAUAAUGCUGGUUCGAAUGCGGAGGGUGGCUCGUCGUGCGUAUUAUAUUGUAUGGCGAGCUGAAGAUUCAAUGAUUUUCCUCUUGGCUAUGGUCGAUAUGGGGUGGUUGGAAGCUAUCAUUUUCCCCACAUUAUCAUUAUCGCACCAAUACGUCGAGGAAGACGCAUUAAUAUCCUAAAAGGUGAGACUGUCUCUAAUAGAGUUAGUGAUGCCUUAAAAUGCGACCCCAGGAUGGGCGGGAU